AAUAGAUACCCGGGUAGUCCAUGCCGUAAACGUUGGGCACUAGGUGUGGGGGGCCGAUUCCACGGUUUCCGCGCCGCAGCUAACGCAUUAAGUGCCCCGCCUGGGGAGUACGGCCGCAAGGCUAAAACUCAAAGGAAUUGACGGGGGCCCGCACAAGCGGCGGAGCAUGCGGAUUAAUUCGAUGCAACGCGAAGAACCUUACCAAGGCUUGACAUGUGCCGGACCGUCCCAGAGAUGGGGCUUCCCUUCGGGGCCGGUUCACAGGUGGUGCAUGGUUGUCGUCAGCUCGUGUCGUGAGAUGUUGGGUUAAGUCCCGCAACGAGCGCAACCCUCGUUCCAUGUUGCCAGCACUUCGGGUGGGGACUCAUGGGAGACUGCCGGGGUCAACUCGGAGGAAGGUGGGGACGACGUCAAAGUCAUCAUGCCCCUUAUGUCUUGGGCUUCACGCAUGCUACAAUGGCCGGUACAAAGGGUUGCGAUACUGUGAGGUGAGCCAAUCCCAGAAAGCCGGUCUCAGUUCGGAUUGGGGUCUGCAACUCGGCCC
rnacentral:rRNA from 1 species